rnacentral:rRNA from 1 species
UGAGUAACCUGCCCUUAACUCUGGGAUAAUCCUGGGAAACUGGGUCUAAUACCGGAUAUGACUCCUCAUCGCAUGGUGGGGGGUGGAAAGCUUUAUUGUGGUUUUGGAUGGACUCGCGGCCUAUCAGCUUGUUGGUGAGGUAAUGGCUCACCAAGGCGACGACGGGUAGCCGGCCUGAGAGGGUGACCGGCCACACUGGGACUGAGACACGGCCCAGACUCCUACGGGAGCAG